rnacentral:rRNA from 1 species
GCCCUUCGGGGUACACGAGUGGCGAACGGGUGAGUAACACGUGGGUAAUCUGCCCUGCACAUCGGGAUAAGCCUGGGAAACUGGGUCUAAUACCGAAUAGGACCACAGAACACAUGUCCUGUGGUGGAAAGCUUUUGCGGUGUGGGAUGGGCCCGCGGCCUAUCAGCUUGUUGGUGGGGUGAUGGCCCACCAAGGCGACGACGGGUAGCCGGCCUGAGAGGGUGUCCGGCCACACUGGGACUGAGAUACGGCCCAGACUCCUACGGGAGGCAGCAGUGGGGAAUAUUGCACAAUGGGCGAAAGCCUGAUGCAGCGACGCCGCGUGGGGGAUGACGGCCUUCGGGUUGUAAACCUCUUUCACCAUCGACGAAGGUUCGGGUUUUCUCGGAUUGACGGUAGGUGGAGAAGAAGCACCGGCCAACUACGUGCCAGCAGCCGCGGUAAUACGUAGGGUGCGAGCGUUGUCCGGAAUUACUGGGCGUAAAGAGCUCGUAGGUGGUUUGUCGCGUUGUUCGUGAAAUCUCACGGCUUAACUGUGAGCGUGCGGGCGAUACGGGCAGACUUGAGUACUGCAGGGGAGACUGGAAUUCCUGGUGUAGCGGUGGAAUGCGCAGAUAUCAGGAGGAACACCGGUGGCGAAGGCGGGUCUCUGGGCAGUAACUGACGCUGAGGAGCGAAAGCGUGGGGAGCGAACAGGAUUAGAUACCCUGGUAGUCCACGCCGUAAACGGUGGGUACUAGGUGUGGGUUUCCUUCCUUGGGAUCCGUGCCGUAGCUAACGCAUUAAGUACCCCGCCUGGGGAGUACGGCCGCAAGGCUAAAACUCAAAGAAAUUGACGGGGGCCCGCACAAGCGGCGGAGCAUGUGGAUUAAUUCGAUGCAACGCGAAGAACCUUACCUGGGUUUGACAUGCACAGGACGCCGGCAGAGAUGUCGGUUCCCUUGUGGCCUGUGUGCAGGUGGUGCAUGGCUGUCGUCAGCUCGUGUCGUGAGAUGUUGGGUUAAGUCCCGCAACGAGCGCAACCCUUGUCUCAUGUUGCCAGCGGGUAAUGCCGGGGACUCGUGAGAGACUGCCGGGGUCAACUCGGAGGAAGGUGGGGAUGACGUCAAGUCAUCAUGCCCCUUAUGUCCAGGGCUUCACACAUGCUACAAUGGCCGGUACAGAGGGCUGCGAUGCCGCGAGGUUAAGCGAAUCCUUUUAAAGCCGGUCUCAGUUCGGAUCGGGGUCUGCAACUCGACCCCGUGAAGUCGGAGUCGCUAGUAAUCGCAGAUCAGCAACGCUGCGGUGAAUACGUUCCCGGGCCUUGUACACACCGCCCGUCACGUCAUGAAAGUCGGU